CUCAAUAAUGAGGUAAAAUGUCCUAUAUAGUUUAUCGGACUCGACUCGAAAAAUUCCUGACCAGGAUACAUGGUAUAUGGAAAGAGUUUCCAACUGUAUUACCAUAUUGAGUUGAUUUCAGAUAUUCUAGGCAUAUGGUCGAAUGAUAAGGUUUGGCGAGUAACCAUGACCUUAGUUUGAUUGGGACGUUGUAUGUUGAAAGGAAUUAAUCACAUGGUAACUACAAGCGGAAAGGUUUAUUCUUCAUCACAAUUCUGGAUUGCCAUGAUAUACUGCUAGGUGUCACUCACGGACAGUGAGAGAAUAUGAAUGAUUCGAAUUGAAUUGUUCUUAUUUAUCGAUUAGAAGAGUUCUAAUUAAAUAUCAAAGAGUUUGAUAUUGAGCUCCACUGCCGAAUGGUAAUGAACCUAUGUGGUCACACAUAUUAGGAAUUGUGUGCACCUGAAUCGUUUGGAUGAAAGUCGUUCACUAAAGAGUUUAAUGUAAGCGAUGAAAAUAAAAAGAAGUUGCUUAAUUAAAUUAGAUUUAAUUAUUCAAUUCGGUUAUAACUUAUAGUCCUAAUUAGAUUAGGAUAUCCGAAUCAGUUUG
rnacentral:lncRNA from 1 species